rnacentral:rRNA from 1 species
GACGAACGCUGGCGGCGCGCUUAACACAUGCAAGUCGAACGGAAAGGCCUGCUUUCCCUUGUGGAUUGCGGGUACUCGAGUGGCGAACGGGUGAGUAACACGUGAGUGAUCUGCCCCCAACUUGGGUAUAAGCCUGGGAAACUGGGUCUAAUUCCCGAUAGGACUGCAGGGUGGUGCCUGUGGUGGAAAACGAUUUUCUAGUGGUUGGGGAUGAGCUCGCGGCCUAUCAGCUUGUUGGUGGGGUAAUGGCCUACCAAGGCGGCGACGGGUAGCCGGCCUGAGAGGGUGGACGGCCACAUUGGGACUGAGAUACGGCCCAGACUCCUACGGGAGGCAGCAGUGGGGAAUAUUGCACAAUGGGCGGAAGCCUGAUGCAGCGACGCCGCGUGGGGGAUGACGGCCUUCGGGUUGUAAACUCCUUUCAACCGCGAGGAAGCCACCUGGUUGGAAGGGUGGUGACGGUAGUGGUAGAAGAAGCACCGGCUAACUACGUG